rnacentral:rRNA from 1 species
GACGAACGCUGGCGGCGUGCUUAACACAUGCAAGUCGAACGGAAAGGCCCUGCUUUUGUGUGGUGCUCGAGUGGCGAACGGGUGAGUAACACGUGAGUAACCUGCCCUUGACUUUGGGAUAACUUCAGGAAACUGGGGCUAAUACCGGAUAGGAGCUCCUGCUGCAUGGUGGGGUUGGAAAGUUUCGGCGGCUGGGGAUGGACUCGCGGCUUAUCUGCUUGUUGGGGGGGUAGUGGCUUACCAAGGCUUUGACGGGUAGGCGGCCUGAGAGGUUGACCAGCCACAUUGGUCCUGAGAUACGGCGCAGACUCCUACGGGGGGCAGCAGGGGGGAAUAUUGCACAGUGGGCGGAAGCCUGAUGCAGCAACGCCGCGUGCGGGAUGACGGCCUUCGGGUUGUAAACCGCUUUCGCCUGUGACGAAGCGUUAGUGACGGUAAUGGGUAAAGAAGCACCGGCUAACUACGUG